AACCCGGGUGCUGAUGUGGGUUUUCUCGUCAUCAUAAAGCUUUGCCAAUCCAAAAUCUGAUAUUUUUGGGGAGAGUUCUGCAUCGAGCAAAAUAUUACUGGCCUUAACAUCUCGAUGUACAAUCCUUGGCCUUGACUCCUCGUGAAGGUAAGCAAGUCCUCUUGCUGUUCCCAACAAUAUAUUGAAUCGAGUAGGCCAGUCAAGGUGCAAGUUACUUGUCCCUGAAAUAUUUGUGAACACAUCUAAUCAAAAACAUUUUUAAGUAAUUUUAGAGUGCUUGAAACUACAGAAAAUGUUGUUUCUAUGUAACCUAAAAGUAGAUAGGUUUGUACCAAAAAGUGCCUGAUCAAGGCUCUUGUUUUCAAGAUACUCAUAAACCAAAAUGCGCUGGCUGCCUUCGAUGCAGCAUCCAUACAAUUUCACUAGAUUCCGAUGUUGCACUGCAGAUAUGGUAGCAAUUUCAGAUACAAAUUGACUCUUUCCUUGGUGAGAUGCUACUGAAAGUUGCUUCACAGCCACUAUUCUCCCAUCAGAAAGUGCACCCUACAAUGUACACAUAAACACAAUUUAGUGACAUGAAAGGAAAGAAAAAAGGAGCUAUAUUUUCCUCUCGCUUGCUCGCUCUUUCUCCCUUUCUCUUGUCAUUACUUCAAGUACAUGAUAUUGAUGUAAUACGGAUUUCACCUUAUAAACAGGGCCAUAUCCUCCCUCUCCUAGCUUAUUUGAAGUAUUAAAAUCUUCAGUUGCGGUUCUCAAUUCAGCAUAACUGAAAGUAUAUGGUCGGGGGCCUAAUCCUAGAAUAUCUGCACAUUCAUGAAACAGUUGACAUAAGUUUUACUUUCGUGAAAGCAUUCUUACUUCUGUGUGUUAAUAUUAGGGCAGCAAAACCUGAAUUGGGUACCAAUAAUGAUAUGGUCGUUUACCUUCAUCGUCUUCUUUUUCUGAUUUUUUCCUCCUCAUAUAUAGAAUUGCAAAUAUUAAUAGCAAGCUCACAACUCCAAUAGGAACUGCAAUACCGACUAUCAACCCAGUCUUGCUCUUCUUUCCUGGAGUAGUUGGUGGAAGCCCGGCAACUGUUGGUGUAAAAUCUGAGUAAUAAAACAGAUGAAUUCUUCAGUGUCAAUUAAUAGCAGAAAAAUACAUUUAAACCAAUCAUAGGAAAUCUCUAUAAGUAACACAUAUUAUACCUGAAGCAGCAUGGACAGCUGCUAUUAGCGGGCCGUAAUCACCUUGUUCGGGUAUGCAACAAGUCCCUUUACCAGCCCAGAACAGAUGAAUUUCAAGAUAAUUCUCUGACACGUUAACAUUAAAUUUUCUCACAAUUGCUCGGUUAACACCACCUGCCGCCGACGAUAUGUCCAAGUCCUUCGUCAUGCGGGUACCCUAGCAACCAAAUGAACAGGUAGGUGAUAAUUCUAGUCUCCUUUAAAUCAUUGUAGCUUAAAACAUAGAAAACCUGUCCAAUGAGUGUUUACUUCAAAUAAGUCAGAAUUUUUAUUCUAUAAGCAGCCUUACCUGAAUAUAGAUAUCAAAUACACGCCGUCCUAGACUUUGCCAUUUUUGCGAAGUGCGACUUUCAUAAACCGUCUCUGCAAAGUGCAAUGUUACAGUGUAAGGCCCAUUCUCAAGGCUCAGGCCAUAGUAUCUCAGUGAUCCUGGGGACACUCUUGAAGUCUGGAAAAGCUCCGGGGUCACAUCCGUUCCGGUGACUUGUGCAAGGGUAUUUUCCAGAAACGACGGGUCCUUUCUGUCAGAAAACAAACCGGCAUUGCUGACAGCCCAUUUCUCUGUACUAGUUACAUUGAAUGUUGCUGCGCCAAGAGCUGAGUCUUCAGUCUCAUACAAUAUGCCAUCACUUCCCGUCAUUUGUUUUCCACCACAGUUGAUUGAGAAGUUUGCAUCUGUAAAGUUUCAUGUAAUACCAGAAGCCAGCCAUGAUUAGCGAUGAAACGUCAAAUUGAAGACUCAUGCUAAUGUUCAUCAGUCACAUAUUUCUAACCAGUUAUGCGUAUUACUGAACUGAUGAAAACAUGCUUGCAAUCUAUAUCCAUAUGUAUACAUAACUAGAGAAGCAAUGCCUUUUCCUCUAACAUGACGAUGCGUUAAAAUAGUAAAUGAUUGAGAAGUUUGCAUCUGUAAGUUUCAUGUAUUACCAGAAUCUACCCAUGAUUAGCGAUGAAACUUCAAAUUGAAGACUCAUACUAAUGUUUUUCAGUCACAUAUUUCUGACCAGUUAUGCUUAUUUCUGAACUUAUGAAAACAUGCUGGCAAUCUAUAUCCAUAUGUAUACAUAACUAGAGAAGCAAUGCCUUCUCUAACAUGACGUUGAGUUAAAACAGUAAAUGUUGGGUGACAUAAAAGCAGAUUACAUCGUGGGGCAUUUCGAUUGCAUGGAAAAUUUCUCUGGAGGCAAUCCAAUCCAGGAAGACUGCAAACACAGAACAAUUAUUAGUUAUCCAAAUAGAAACAUGUAGUGGAAGAGUAGUGAUAGUAUUGCUUGUCUAAAAACAAGUAAGAGAAACUUCAACUCACGUUAUGUUUGAACUGUCAAAUGUGAAGUUGUUGACCACUAAGUUCCUGCAUAAAAUCAUUAAUCAAUCACCAUAUGAAGAAAUAUAUCUUUAUCAAAUGAAAAUUCCAUGUACAAGAUCAAAAAUUAGUAGGCAAGUAGCACUGUGAAAACGAAUCUCAACGAUAAUUUUUUGUCCGAACAUAUUCUGUUGAUUUAAACUGUAAAAUGAAGGUGAAAGAUAAAAGGACACGUACAGUUGCGAUAUUGUGGUCACCCACUGGGGAAAGCUUCCUGAUAAAAAAUUGUAAGACAAAUCUCUGCAAAUAACAAAAUAGAAUCAGAAGGCACAAAAUGCAUGAAAGUUAUUAAGAACUUGUGUAAGAUAGGAUUAGAAUGCUUACAAUUAUACACAAACACACACAUGCACCGUGCAUUCUAUAUGACUACUUUAAGAAAUGAGGACUUACAUAGUCUCAAGUUGAUUGCUCUUUUGGCUUGGAAGAGGUCCGGACAGACUAUUGUUUCCAAGAAACCUGGCCAUUUCGAUUAUAGCAGAAGGCACCCAGAAAAGAAAAAGAGAUGAACAAACAAAAGGUCAGAUGUGCACAAAAUCUAGAAGGAUUAGUCCAGAUAUUCAAUCAAAGUAGGGAAUGUUAAAGAUUUGAUAACUUAUGUAUGAUAAGGCAAGAAAAAGAUAAUAAUAAAGAUGGGGAUUACAAGGAUGUAAGAGAACUCAAGUUGAACAAAGAACUUGGGAGUUGGCCUGUCAAAUUGUUGAAACUCAGAUCCCUGCACACCAACGAUAAGUUGAGAGGAGGAAUCAGAAUGCAAGAAAACUAAUUGGUCUCGUUGGGACUCAAGCUUAUAUUUGCUGGUACGUACAGUGUCUGUAGACUUUGAUAUUCUCCAAUAUCAGAUGGGAUGGUACCAGUGAUUAAUGCGUUUCGCAGUUUUCUAUACUCCAAAAACAUAAAAUUUGAUAAAAGUAGAUGGAGUAAGAUAUCACAUUUCAAAAGGAAAAAGAAGUUAGAUGAAAGUAUCUUGAUCGAUGAGAAUCUUCACUUACAAUUCAGUCAAGCUUUUCAGAUUUUUUAUGAAAUCAAGAGAGGAGCUCCCAUUGUAUAUAUCACUGAUUCGCCUACAUCAUUAUAUGCAAAAUAAACUGAAAUCCUGUCUUCGGAGAAAGAGAGAGAAUUACAAUUUAUGAAACAUUUGUACUUACAGAGAGGUCAAUGAGGUCAGCUGAGAAAAGCUGGUUGGUAUUGGGCCUUCGAAAGAGUUCCCUUGAAAUCGCCUACAGAAACAUAUAAGAAGCUUGUCAACUAAGUAUCCAUCUCAGGUCUGCUUUCAUAAACUGCAUAAGAUCAAAAUUUUAUGUGGCUUACAAAGAAGUGAGUUGUGUCCAAUUCCCUAUGAAAUCAGGUGUCUUUCCUGAGAAAAGACUGUCCGAUGCCCAACUAAAAUUCAAAAAGUUGACUUAUAAUAAGCUCAUCCAAGAAAAGCAAUAUCAAAGUACUAGAUAAACGAACAAAUCUAAAAUACGAUUUAAGAGCCGUUCUUACAGGGUUUGCAUGUUGGUGAGCUUGGCGAAUGUUGAAGGAAUUUCACCACUGAGUCCACAGCUGUCCAUGUAACUGUGAAAAUCAUAAGGCAACUGAUUUGUUAGGAAUGUCGGUACUACAAGAUAGAGAAUGCACAAGGUAAAGUAGAAAAUGGACGCCAAGAAUUUAUGUGGUUCGGCAAUUUAUGCCUACGUCCACCAAACAAGGAAUCUUCACUAUAUGAAAAAAGAUGAAUACAACAAGAGUAGUCUUACCAAGCCAAAGACAAGGCUUGAUGGAUACAAGAAAGUAUAACACACACUUUCUAUCACUCUAAACUUCACUCACACAAUGUGUAGUGGAACACUCUCACUCUCACUCUUGGAGUGGAACUCUAGCUUUGGACUUGAUCCUUUGCUACUCACUCUUUCUUGAUUUGUUGUUUCACUACAACAUCACACCCAUAUUUAUAGGUGAGGGUUUGGCAUUCUACUAGUUUCUAGUGUAUUCUUCAAACCUCUAGCAUAGAAAGAUCUAGACUAGCCACAAAAGUGUGGCUUCUAGAUCUUUCCAUUUGCAACCAAGGAAGCUAGUACUCUCUAGCUUCUUCCAUCAACUUAAUAACAUGCUAGAAUUGUCUAGCAUGCUCCAGCCAUCUCUCUUGCUUACUAGAAUAAUCUAGAACAUUGAUCAUGGGCUGGACCAUAUACCAACAAUCUCCCCCUCCAGUCCAUGAGGAAGGAAUUCCGAUCAUGACUGCAAGUUACCUGGAGUCCAUCCCAGCAGCCUUAAUGCAGAAUUCCAACUUUGAUUUUGUGACCACCUUUGUCAACAUGUCUGAAGAAUUAUUAUCGGUAUGAAUCUUCUUCAGCUGUAGCAUCUUGUUCUCGAUAGCAUCUCUAAUCCAGUGAUAACGAAUAUCAAUGUGCUUGGUGCGUGAAUGGUAUGCAGUGUUUUUGCUCAAAUCCAGAGCACUCUGACUAUCACAAUAAACGCCAUAAUCACUUUGUUUCAAACCCAACUCUUGGAGAAACCGCUUCAGCCACAACAACUCCUUGCAUGCUUCUGUAGCGGCUAUGUAUUCAGCCUCGGUUGUAGACAAAGCAAUGCACUUUUGUAACUUGGAUUGCCAAGACACGACUCCCCCUGCAAAAGUAAACAAGUACCCAGACGUAGAUUUUCUACCAUCCAGGUCACCUCCCAUGUCAGCAUUUGUAAAUCCUUCCAAGAUUGGUUUGGAACCGCCAAAGCACAAGCACAUCUUAAAAGUCCCCUUCAAAUAUCUGAGAAUCCACUUAACAGCUUCCCAGUGGUCCUUCCCUGGAUUAGAGAGAAACCUGCUCACCACACCUACUGCAUGAGCAAUAUCUGGCCGUGUGCACACCAUUGCAUACAUGAUACUUCCUACUGCUGAAGAGUAGGGAACAACUGCCAUUUUCUCAUUUUCUUCAUAUGUUUUUGGACACGACUCUUUGCUCAACUUGAUAUGAUUGGCUAAAGGUGAGCUUACCGAUUUGGCUGUUUUCAUGUUGAACCUUUCAAGCACCCGUUCAACAUACUUUUCUUGUGACAGCCACAACUUCUUGGAUUUUCUGUCACGAAUUAUCUCCAUGCCCAAAAUCUGCUUGGCUGGCCCUAAGUCCUUCAUGUCAAAGGACUUAGAUAACUCUUUUCUUUGAGCUUUUUAAUCAUAAAAGCAUCUUGACCGACAAUCAACAUGUCAUCAACAUAAAGCAACAAAAUGAUGAAUUUACCUCCAGAAAAUUGUUUGAUAUAGACACAAGAGUCAGCAUGAGUUCUCUUGUACCCAUUACUCACCCAUGAAUGAGUUGAACUUCUUAUUCCACUGUCUCGGAGCCUGCUUAAGACCAUAUAAACUUUUCUUGAGCUUGCACACCAAAUUUUCUUUACCUUUGACUUCAAAGCCUUUGGGUUGCUCCAUGUAUAUCUCCUCUUCUAAAUUGCCGUGGAGAAAUGCAGUUUUAACAUCUAACUGCUCGAGCUCAAGAUCUAUGCUUGCUGCCAUACCAAGGAUAACUCGAAUGGAAGUCAUCUUCACCACCGGUGAGAAAAUCUCAUCAAAGUCAACUCCUUUCUUUUGACCAAAACCUUUGACAACCAAACGAGCCUUGUACCUUGUCAUGUUGUCGUCUCUUUUCAAUUUGAACACCCACUUGUUUUUCAAUGCUUUCCUGCCCUUUGGAAGCUCCACCAGCUCAUAGGUAUCAUUCUUUGAUAAGGAAUCCAUCUCCGACUCCAUUGCCUUCAUCCAUUUGUCACUGUCGUUAUGAGCUCUGGCCUCCUCAUAUGUUUCGGGCUCUCCAUAAUUAGUCAACAUGAUAUACUCUGAUGAAGAAUACUUGGUAGACGGUCUUCGACUUCUGAUGGAUCUUCUGACCUGAUCUUCAUUCUCUUGUAGGGCUGGAGGCUCCCCCUGAUUGGGUUCUCCUUGAAUCUGCUCUUCUUGACUAGGCUCCCCCUGAUCAGCAAUCUCAUGGUCUGGCACAUCUUGAUCAGGCUCCUCUUGAUUAGCAUUAUCUGAUUCUGCAGGCACUUCAUUGGCAGUUGCUUCAGGGAUGUCAUCGUGACUUUCUUCAUCUGAAGCUAAUGGAUCAACUCCUCUGACUGCGCCAUCUGGUUGUGCCUCUUUAUCCGAAUCCCCAAUUGUUUGUUCUUCAUAAAAGACCACGUCUCUACUUCGGAUAAACUUCUUCUGGUAUGGGUCCCAUAAUCUGUAACCAAAAUCUUCACCGCCAUAACCAAGAAAGAUGCACGGUGUAGCUUUGUAGUCUAACUUCGAUCUCUGCUCUUUGGGCACAUGCACAAAAGCUUUGCAGCCAAACACCUUCAGAUGAGAGUAAGACACAUCAUUACCAGUCCAUACUCUCUCUGGAACAUCAAGACCUAAUGGUACUGAUGGAGAUCGGUUGAUCAAAUAGCAGGCUGUCCUUACAGCUUCACCCCAGAACUGCUUAGAUAACUUUGCAGUCCUCAACAUACACCUGACUUUCUCCAUGAUGGUUCGGUUCAUUCUUUUCAGCAACACCGUUAUGUUGUGGAGUUCCAGGAACUGUCUUCUCAUGACGUAUGCCAUGUUUUACACAAUACUCUCUAAACUGGUGAGAUGUGUACUCGCCGCCGUUGUCGCUACGAAGGCACUUGAGAGGUUUCCCAGUUUCCCUCUCCACCAUGGCAUGGAACUCCUGGAAUGUCUGAAACACCUGGUCUUUGGAUUUCAACAAAUACACCCACACCCUUCGUGAAGCAUCAUCAAUAUAAGUAACAAAAUAUUUAUUUCUUCCAAGUGACUCGACUUCCAUGGGACCACACACAUCUGAAUAAACAAGAUCUAACAAGUUUCCUUUCUUUGUAGAUGGAACAGAAAAAACUAACUCUUCUUUUGUUUUCCGAAUAAACAAUGCUCACAAGAGUUUAACGACGUACCUUCGGUAAAGGGAAUGUGAGACUUAUUUGCCAAAACUUGUAGGCCUUUCUCGCUUAUGUGGCCUAGCCUCUUUAUGCCAUAAGUCUAGAGAUGAGUCCUCCACAGCAUUCAACUCACCUUUCAAAACCUUGGCAUUUGACCGGUACAACGUACAACAAAGUCGUGCUCUUGCUACCACCAUUAAGCCUUUAGUAAGCUUCAAUUUUCCUUCGCCAAUAUGGUGAUAAUAUCCUUGUCGAUCAAGGGUACCGAUGGAUAUCAGAUUGAGACGUAUAUCAGGAAUAUGUCUCACAUCUUUCAACAUCAAUUGGCAGCCGAGAUUAGUUCUUAGACAUAUAUCACCAAUUCCAAGAAUUUUGGAAUAGCUUUCAUUCCCCAUCUUCACUAUGCCAAAGUCACCUUCUUUGUAUGUACUGAAGAACUCCCGUUUGGACGUAGCAUGGAAGGAAGCUCCAUUGUCAAAGAUCCAUUCAAUGUCUCUGUCAGAGUUGCCCAUAUGCAGACAUUCACCAACAGACAAUAUUUCUGGUACAUCACCACAUAUGACAGCAGUGGUAUUGCCAGUAUCAUCUUUCUUCUGAUUGUUUCCUUCCCUUUGCUCUCUCUUCCAAACUCGACAAUUUUUCUUCAUAUGGCCUUCUUUGCCACAGUGGUGGCAUGCACCCCUGAACUUUGACUUGGAUCGGCUAGGACUCCUGCCAUGACCUCUAGGCCCUCUACUUUUGCUUCUUCCGCGGUUCUCUGUGACAAAUACUUGGCUGCUAUCUGUGCCAGAAGUCUUUCUCCUUGUUUCUUCAUUGAGCAUGCUAUUUUUAACAUUAUCAAGAGUAAGAAACACCAUUAGAAGCAGAGUUACUUAUACUCACCACAAAGGUCUCCCAACUGUCUGGCAAGGAUCCAAGUAACAAGAGCGCUUGUAGCUCGUCCUCGAUCGUCAUUUUCAUAUAGUAGCCAACUGGUUGAUGAUAUUCUGGAAAUUGUUCAAGUGUUCUGCUACACUUAAACCAUCCUUGUACUUCACAUUGAUGAGCUCUUUGAUCAAGAAGGCUUUCUUGGCUGGGGUCUUCUUCUCGAACAAGGACUCAAGCUUCGUCCAAAACUCGCGAGCAUUGGUUUCAUUAGACACAUGGUGAAAAACACUAUCAUCCACCCAUUGUCUAAUUGUGCCAAUAGCCUUGCGAUUCAUCUUCUUCCACUCGGCAUCGGACAUGCUCUCGGGCUUAGCGGCAUCUCCUUCAAUUGGCUCAUGCAAAUCCUUGCAAUAGAGAAUGUCCUCCAUCCUUGGCUUCCAUGUUACCCAAUUGGAGUUGGUGAGUUUGAUCAUAGUGCCACUUCCUUCCAUCUCGUAGUACGAGCCAACCGGGCUCUGAUACCACUUGUUAGGAAUGUCGGUACUACAAGAUAGAGAAUGCACAAGGUAAAGUAGAAAAUGGACGCCAAGAAUUUAUGUGGUUCGGCAAUUUAUGCCUACGUCCACCAAACAAGGAAUCUUCACUAUAUGAAAAAAGAUGAAUACAACAAGAGUAGUCUUACCAAGCCAAAGACAAGGCUUGAUGGAUACAAGAAAGUAUAACACACACUUUCUAUCACUCUAAACUUCACUCACACAAUGUGUAGUGGAACACUCUCACUCUCACUCUUGGAGUGGAACUCUAGCUUUGGACUUAAUCCUUUGCUACUCACUCUUUCUUGAUUUGUUGUUUCACUACAACAUCACACCCAUAUUUAUAGGUGAGGGUUUGGCAUUCUACUAGUUUCUAGUGUAUUCUUCAAACCUCUAGCAUAGAAAGAUCUAGACUAGCCACAAAAGUGUGGCUUCUAGAUCUUUCCAUUUGCAACCAAGGAAGCUAGUACUCUCUAGCUUCUUCCAUCAACUUAAUAACAUGCUAGAAUUGUCUAGCAUGCUCCAGCCAUCUCUCUUGCUUACUAGAAUAAUCUAGAACAUUGAUCAUGGGCUGGACCAUAUACCAACAUGAUUAAUACCCAUUUCAUACGAUAAAGUGCAAUUUUUGCUCAUCCGUAACGAAUUAACAUGUAAUUCAAAUUUGAUGAUUUAACGAAGCACUUACAUUUGCUCGAGCUUGACUAAAUUACCAAGUUCUGGAGGGAGUGUUCCGGAGAAAUUAUUUGAUCCGAUGCCCCUGCAAGUCAUGUUGAAUAGGCAAACACUUACUUGAAAGCAAUUAUUGAAGAGUGAUAGAAGGUUCUGUAUCUAAUGUUUACGACACAAAAUUUUAUUGUAUGCUCUCUCAUUUUUAUGGCUUACAGCAGAGUUAGCUCCGUAAGGUUUCCAAGCUCCUUGGGGAUGGGUCCAGAGAAUGAAUUGAUGCCAACUGACCUGAAUGGAGAUAUCAGUUAGUGAAAGAUAAGCAUCAUUAAACUUAAUUACAUACAUAACAGGAAACUAGUACUGCAUUAUUCAAUAAAAGCAUAAUGAUUUUUUGUAGAUUACGGCACAAAAAGUAGCGAAAAGGUGUAAAGAACAUAACUGUAGAUUAUGAUAUUCAAAAUGAAGUACAAAUUGCUACGGGUCUCAUCAGAAGUAUGAGUACUUAAAGAAAUGUUCUCUCACUACUUACAAUUCAGUCAAUGCAGACAUAUUGCCAAUGAAUGCUGGUAGGGGACCGGUGAAAUAAUUCUGAUCGAUUUUCCUACAAAAAUUGAAAGGAAGUAUAAUUGUUAACUCUUAAUCUUAUAACAUCACCAUAUUUUUGUUGAAAUCUCACAUCAGCUAGAGAAAUAAAGAAAGAAGAGUUUAAAUAUCCAAAUCUCAUUCCAACUAAUACCGAGACCUUUUGGAAUAAACCUCACACUUAACGGAUUGUGCAAGUGGUACCAAGUUAGGGACAAUAUCUGUGUUGUUGGAAGUGAGCCUUUUGCUCGUCUCUCCGAUAAUUCUACAAUUUUUGAUAUCCAAUAUAUGAUUUUGAUGAACCAAAAACAGAGAAGGGAGUUGGAAAAAAUUCAUACAAAGAUGUGAGAUAUCUCAGAGCCACAAAUUCUUCUGGAAACACCCCUCGUUUGUUCAGAGCAUACACUCUCCUGGAAAGCAAAAAGAUUGAACAUUUAGAACUACAUAAAAUGGAGCGACACAGUCAAAUUAUGACGUUAAAAUAUAUAGGUAGCAAGUGAAAAAUCAGCAGUGGCAUGGAAAUCUUGUUCAUAAAGAGUAGUUUAACAUACAGUUUGGUGAUGUGGCAUGUAGCAUUGUUGUCGUAAGAACAGUCGCAAACGAUGGCUGGGUUGUUACUGGGGUCCCCAAAGUCGGUGCCGUUGAUGGCAGAUCCACUGCAGGGUUCUCCACUGAUAUUCCACAGCCCCGGCACUGCUUGUGUGUCCCAUUGUUCAAAUAUUGAGUUCAACGCCCUCACUGCACUCUCAGUUAAUUCAGUCCUUGUGUGUAUUAGAUUAUAUCACACCAUAAUUUGAUUUGUGUUACCACUUACCAGACUAUCUCGAACCAAACGAAAGAUCAAAUUGAUUAUUACAAAGGAAAAUUACCCUUAAUUUUUGGAUGUUUUGUAUAUGGGAUGAAAAAGGGCCUUACAAUAAUUUCUUCGAAACUUCGUUUCAUAUAGUCGAAAAACACUUAAAAUGUCAAUUUGUUGAGGGAAAAAAAAGCCCAGUUCCUGGUCAGAAACACUUAAAUGUGGCAAAGUGUGUGUGUAGGGAGAGAGAGAGAGAGAGAGAGAGAGAACCUUCAGAUGGAUCGGUGGUAGCAUUUUGAGCAAAUGACAGCUGAAACCAGAAGUAGCUGAGGAAGUAGAGUAAUAGUAUCCUCAUCAUCAACUUCAUCUUCAUAUUGUACAUGUGCAGAACUUGCUCUCCUCGACGGCGUGAAUUUAAACGACCAACACUUACAUUCCGACUGGCUGAAUCAUGCACCGCAUGUAAGUAGAAGAAGACCAUUAGAUUUUAGUCAUAUAUUGACAACAUAUACAUAUAUAAUAUAUUUUGUCCAAGUUGCAUGAUCAAAUGGCGGCCACUUUAAUAAUUUCCCACCUGGAGUAGGCCAAGACUUUGAUCAUAUUAGUUGAAUUGUAUACUGUAAUAUUACACAUUGAGCUGCUUUAGUAUUGAAAUAUUUAUGUACAAUUUUAGAUUGUUAAUAUUUUUGUGGUUGAAAAAUCAAGGAAUUGACUUAUGGAUUUACAUUCUUGCUCAGUUGGUAAUUAUGGAGAGGGAUUUUUCUGGAUAGCGAAAGAACAAAGGAUUAAUUCUUUGUUAGUUGGUGAUUUUGAUAUGACAUCAACCGAGGAUGUCAUUGUGACAAUUCUUAAGCUAAUCACAUUAUUAUGUUUGACAAAACACAUGACACACUAUUUGAUUAGUUUUUUAUUUCUUUCUAAAAAGAUAGGCAACUAAUGACAAACCACGAUUAUUCACCUUUUUUGGGCUAGAAAUAGGCUAAUUAGAAAUUGUACACACAUUACAAAGUAUCGAACUCAGGAUUUUCACAAUUAGCUUAAAAUAUUGCUAAAAUUGCAUGUAUGUUGUUAGUUUGUCCAGUAAAAGAAUAAUAUUUCAUUCAUAAUUUUACGUAUAAAUAAAACGAUAAAAUGAAUUUUUGAUAAGUGGACAUGGAUUUUUUCAAAGAAAAACAAAGGUGGGAUUUUCAAAAAAAAAAGAAAAGAAAAAUCUCUGGUGGAAUUUUCAAAAGUUGUGGCUGAAUUGAAAAUUCAAUCGGGAUGAAAAUAUCUGCAAGUUGAGUUGAAUGGAAAAGGAUAUUUGCCGGAUCAUUUUCUUGAAAAUGCGGAAGAUCUUGUGAUUGUAUCUGUUUAUCGUACCUCGUGCGAUAAGUUUUUGUUAAAUAUUAUUUAUAUUUAAUUUUAAAUUUUAAAUUUUAAAUAAUUUCUGACCGCAUAAUGUACGAUUAACAGACAUGAUCGUAAUAUCUUUCGGAUCCCCAGAAGAAGAAUCCGGGAUCCUUUUCCGAAUUGAAUGAUGCAGCCAGAAAAGUCAAAAGAGGAUAUGUCUGGAUGGAUUAGAAUCAUCUCCGGAACAAUUACAUCCGUCCUAAUCCGUUUUUGAUUGAUGACAGAAAGUCAAACUGCCACGUAUGAACCCAUCACCAUCCCACCCACCUUGGCUUAAUUAUUCUGAUGCCUUGUUCUUAAAACAAAAGGAGGUAGGCGAUGAAUUGCUGUACUGACGUUAUAAUGGAAGGGGUGUGCUAUCCACACACUCAUUUUUAUUUCUCACACACCUCUUGUUAAUUUUAUUUCUGUUAAUCUUCUUUAUUUCAUCUGAUCCGACGGCCGAAAAUUAAAAGAGAUGUGAGGAGUAAAAAAGGGUGUAUGGAUAUUACACCCUUAAUGGAAUCGGUAUUUAAUUAAUCAUUUUAUUGGCAUUAAUUAUGUACUUAAUUAAAAGUAUGUAUAACUUAGUUGAUGCAAUGAACUAUCAUAGGAUUAUACUUUUAGUCCAAAAAGACCGCUCAAACCGAUAGGACUAUACGCUUUAAUGAGAGUUGGAAGAGAACAUCUAACGUAUGUAGUAUUAUCCUAAUUUUAUAAAGAAAUUAUUUCUAGGACUUAAACUUGUGAUUUUUUUGGAUCACAAAUGAACAACAUUUCCAUUACGCCAAAAUUCACCUUCAAUUGUAGCUUUAAUCUAUAAACAAAAUAUGGAACACUGGUUAUUGACGCUAAUUCCUUGAGGAUUCUGAUUAAAAGGACCAUAUGGGCAAUUCACUAAUUUACUGUUCUUAAAGGUACUCCUCGGAUUUUGGCCAAAAAUUCUUAUAGAGUUAGCGUGAAGGACUAAUGUUUCACAUUUAUCGAACUCAUAAACUACUUUUAAUAGAUCCUUAAUUUGUAGACUAAAAUUACAAUUUAGUCAUAAUUCACCAACCAAUACUGUGAUUUUCUCCUUUAUAAUGUUUGGGGAAAAUACUGUUCAUAUCAAUUAUCAAAGACUCAUACUCAUCCUCGCAAUCGUAUCAAUAAGUAAAGGGUAAUGCUAUUUUGCUAUUUAUUUUCUUUAAUUCAUUUUAUCCGAAGAUAAGAAAUUAAGAAAAAUGUAUAAAAAGUAAAAAUAAGUAUGUGAAUAGCAUCAUCUUAAAUUUAUCUCUCUUAGCAUAAAAUAAAAGAAAAACUAAUGAAAAGAACUUGAAAACUUUGAGUUUUAAUCAAAAUGACAAAAAGGCAAAAAGAUGUUGUAAGUGAAUAGUACUAGAAGUGACUUUUUUAGAGUAAAAAUGUCAUUUUUUGUUAAAGUAAACAGUACUAAAAGUGUUUUGUUAAAACAUAGUAAAAUAAAACUUAUAGUUUUUAUUAACCAAUUAGACAAAUUGGGUAGGAAAAGGAAGGAAUACACAUAUUCUGCCAAGUUACAUUGGUGUAAAAACACGUAGCUUGCACAUGCAGUACGAUCAAGUUGCGGCCCAAGUUGAUGAGUUUUCCAUAAAGUUAAAUGAGUUUGAUCAUGGAUAAUAUAUUAAAUAUAUAAAGAAUUAUUAAAUAUUGCCAAACAACAGCAGUGUUUUAAAUUUUUUUAAACUAAGCAAACAGACAGGGAAAUGUAAAAAUUAAGUUCCUAUAUUUAUUUUUCCUACUUUAUUAAUUAAAAUUUUAUUAAUUUUUAAUUUUUAAUCAAAAUUCUUAAAUUUUAAUAAAUGUUAUUAAUUAUUUUAAACGUUACAUUUGGUAUAUUUGUGCCCAUGCUAAUUAUAUGUAUUUAUUUUAUGUUUUAAAAUAUAUCAAGAGUUAUUUUUCAAAAUAUGUUAAUAAUUAUGUGGGUACAUUAUUUUUUGCUAUAAUUUUUGUGAAGAACAAUAUUACUCUAAAAAAAAAUUUUAAGUAUAUUUUAAAAAUAUUAUUUAAAUUUGUUUAAAUUUCAUAAUUUGUGGAACAUUAAAUACAUAAAGACAUGAAUUAAAUCUCUUAAACGAUGCUAAGAUUUCGAUCAAAUUAUUUAAACAAAUAAAAUUUUAGCCUAACAAUUAGGUUGAUUAGGGACCACAGCCAAAAUGACGAUAGGAAAAUAUACUGCUUUUGAAUGCAUCUGUUGGCUACAGUUGAGGAUGAACUUUUAACAUUUCGAAAGAGAAAGAUUAGCGGUUGAUCUCCUGUAUUUUAUAUGUGCAUAUCAUAUGAAGAGAGAGAGAAAGAGAGAGAGAGAGAGAGAGAUAUACCCGUCCUGCUGUUGAAGCAGAAGAUGGAGGAGCUGAAGCAGAAGCAAGCAGCAAACUGGUGGGAAGAUAUCAGAGAUGGUGGCUUCUUCGCCCACUAGCUCUGAAAAUUCAUCCCCUCUCCUCUCUCUUUAUCCUAGUAUGAGUGUGUAUGAGAAUGAAAAGGACAAUUCCCACUUACAUAAACCAAAAUAUAUACGGACAAGGAUUGUCUGCUCUCUACUUCCGGUGCUUUCUUCGUAUCUUCCUGUUUUGUGUGAUCACGGUUAAAUCACGUCAAUAUUUUAUAUUUUUUUUAUAAAUAUAAUAAAACAAAAAUGAAUAGUAAUAUAAAAUAUUGACGUGUCUUAACUAUGACCACACAAAUAAAAGAGCACGAAGAAAACACCGGAAAUAGAGAACAGACAAUCCUUGUCCAAUGUAUAUGGCCUCAUGGGAGUAGUAUAUAUAAUUAUAUAUAGUGGCAUGAUUAGUCUUUAGCCAAUGUCAGUCUCUGUAUUCUUCAAACCAGCAAUUUCUUUAUUCAACAACUAGAAUAAUUAAAAUGUAGAAACACGAAAUGUAAUAUGAUAUUUAUGCAUUUUAUUAUUGGUUUGAUCUCUAUGAAUUCUCUUUUUCCUAACAAUUAACAACUUAAUUCAAUAAUGUUAUUAUUUAUUAAAAAGGAAAAAAAAAUGAAGUAAUUAACUUUUUUUUUUCAUAUUUUUAACUAGAUGUAAAAGCUAUUAAACCUUAGAACCUAAACAAGUUCCUGCCCUCUAAUCCAAAUUUUCCUUCACUUUGUUGAGAUUCUGCUAAUUUCAUUUAGCCUUUCAUGUUUCUCUUUAAAAAAAAAAUCGUAACUUUGCACCUUUAACUCAAUUUUCCUUCAUUUCGUCGAGAUUCUACUAAUUCGUAAAAAAUGAACGGAAUACGUGACAUGGUAUACAUUUUGUUUAUGUGCAUCCGUUAAAGCUAAACAUCUUAUGGUUCAUUAACUUUAAUCAAAUUUGAGCAAUAAUCCAUUAACUAAAAAUUCAUUAUCAUUAGUCCCGCAACUCAUCAAAACGUAUAGUUAUGAUCAUUUUCGUUAACUUCGUGAGAAUUUUGUCAAAAUGAGUUAUGUUGGAAGGAUCAUUGUUACAAUUGAGAUCCCUCAACUCAUCAAAACUUCUAGCUAUGAUUUUUUCGUCAACUUCGUUAGAAUUUUGUUAAAAUGAGUUAUGUUUGAAUGAUCAUUGCUACAAUUGGGUUAAAGUUGAGGGAUUAUUGUUCCAAUUGAGUUAAAGUUAAGGGAUCAUUUUUCCAGUUAGAUUAAAGUUGAGGGAUCAUUUUUCCAGUUAGAUUAAAGUUGAGGGGCCAAGGGUAAUAAAUUUUUAGUUGAGGGAACAUAGCUGUACGUUUUGAUGAGUUAAAAGAUUAAUGAUAAUAAAUUUUUAAUUUAAGGACCAUUAUUCUAAUUGAAUUAAAGUUAAAAAAUAUUACUACAACUUAGACACAUAAAAAAAAAUCAUAUUAUAAAAUAACAUAUAUAAAGUUUCGCUUCGUAUUUUGAGCACAUUGAAAUCUCUAUAGCGAAAGAGUGAGUUGCUAGCUAUUGAAAUUCCCUAAGGUAUUGGUAAUUGUGUUUAAUUAAAAGAUAAAAAAAAAUUAAAUAAUUUUAUUGUCAAUUGAAUGAGUUGGUAUGCCAAACUUCAAUUUUGACCUCUCUUUGCUGUUUCAUUUAUUGGUCAAAACACCCCUCUUCCACAUCUCAUGCCUAUCUUCGGUCUCACUCGCGAGCAUAUCUGCAGUACUGACUCAGGGAAAGGACGCAGCUGACAACCCUCAAGGUUCAGAUCUCUCUGUUAUAGCUUUCUGUAAUUAAUUAAUUCAAUUAAGAGCUCUGUUUCUCCGUCUUUUUUUUUUAAUUUUUUUUAUCAGAUUAUCCCUGAUUUAUGCGUCUGUUUCUGAAUUUGUGAAUAACAUGGGAAUUUGUGUAAACUGCUCCUGAAUUUGUGAAGAAUAUGGGUGUUUUGGUUCUCAGAAAAUAUUUGUGAAAUUUUGGUUUAUGUUUCCGUCUCUGGGUUGAUCUGUUUGUAUUCAAGUUCUCAUUUUUUUCCCCCUCCAUGGAUGUAAUUUAAGGGUGUACUGCUUGAUUCCCGGGAAACUUUGGAAGGAAAAUGAUAGAAAUUGCAAUGCAACAUAUACACCAACUCUUUCUAUUUGUGAAUUUCUGUGUGUUUGGUUAGAACCUAAGGCCUCGUUUGGUCUCUAGGAUCGGAUUGGAAUGGUUGAAAUAACAAUGAAUCGUAUAAUUUUUCUUAUUAGUAAAUUGAUUUCUCAAUUUGGUAUGAUUGAGAUCUUCUCAUGCUGUAAUAUCAUAAAGGGUGACCCCAAGCCAACAAGGCUCUAAGGAGCGACCUUUCUGUUGCGCUAAGGCUCGCCCUCGCUCUAGUAAUGCCGUAGAAUAUGGAUAACUUGUUCCCUUAUGAUCUUUUUAAGUUUUUUUCCCAGAGUUGCAUAAUUUUGAUCAAGAACUAUUAUUUUUGUUGGGAUUGAGACCCAAAAAAAAUCCUUUUGCAGAUUAAAAUUCCGAAAGAAACUCUCGUAGGCAUCAAAUCGGCAACAGAAGUACGAAUUGAAGGCGGUAGUUGAAAUGAAGAAAGAAGGAGCCGAGGAAACAAGCAUGGAGAUAGUGAAGAAGUUUUUGGAGAAAGAAGGUGAAAUGGCAAUCGCCAUGGAUAGUCUGCCCGACAGGUUCUUUGAGCCCUUCAUCCUGAAAGGCAUUAACGUCGAUCUCCUUGAACCCGGACACAUUGUUUGCUCCUUCAAAGUACCCCCGCGUUUGGUGAACGGGGGCAAUUUCUUGCACGGUGGAGCCACAGCAACCCUUGUGGAUUUGAUAGGAUCAGCUGCAAUCCUCUCCUCUGGAGCUCUCAGUUCCGGAGUUUCGGUGGAGAUCAAUGUGUCGUACUUGGAUUCGGCUUAUCCUGGCGAGGAAGUUGAGGUCGAGUCCAGGACGUUACGUGUUGGGAAGACUGUUGGUGUUGCCAGUGUUGAGAUCAGGAAGAAGAAGACUGGGAAGAUUAUUGCUCAGGGCCGUCAUACCAAGUACCUUGCUGUUUCUAGCAAACUCUGAACAGCUAGGAAAUUGAACCAAGGCAUACUGUUCAGUCAGUGUUAAGAUUUUUCGACAUCGAAUAAUUUUUUCUGGAGUGAAUUGUAAUACAAGCAAUGCUCAGUCAAAUUCUCCGUGACUGAUACAAAUAGUUAAGAACAAUACAAUAUUUCACCAAAAGUUGUCGAAAACCAGAACAUUUAACUGCUUAAGCUUUUAGAUAAUAACAUGAUCCAAUCCUCAAAAUUGUAUUGCUCAAAUUUGUAUUCCUCAGACUGAUACAAUUGUUAAGAACCAGUAAAUGCUUAUAAAAAAUUCUCAAAAAACAGAACAGAUAAUCAGUUAACCAUUCGAUCACAACAUUCACUGAAUCACGAAAAGUUAACCGAAAUCAAGAAAACAACAUUGACCAUUUGAGUCACAAUUCGUCAAAAUCAUAUCCAUCGUCGUUAUUAUAUCCCUCAUCGUAAUUGUAUACUUCAUCAUAAUUGCAUCCAUUAUAUUCGUCGUUUGCAACAUGUGUAUCAUCGUCAUAGCCUUCUCCGGCUUCAGCCUCUUCACUGUACGUAUUUUCAUGUUCGAGCUCCUCAUCAGGACUAACUUCAAAAUGAAUCUUUUUCUGAUUUGACAGCUGUUUACCACUGCCGCAAUUAGACUCUUUGCGUUCUUCAAAUCCAGGUCCCUGAAAAACAGACGGAGAAAAAGGUCAGAUUAAGCAAAUUCAGGAUACAUUGACAAGUUCUGGCCGUUGCUCGUAAAAACAGACAUUCUAAAACCUCUUAGGAUUCAUAACUAGGAAUUACAUUGCAAAAUUAUUAUAUAUGGCCAAAAAAUUAUUAACCAUAUAACGAGAUAUAACACUUCCUAUUUCCUAAAGUCUUCUAUUAGCUGCUCGAUUAGCAAACAACCUGUAUAAAGAUCAUGGUUUCACAUAUUUAGGUUUUAUCCUGCCAUAGCUUGUACAACUUCGAUAGACCUUUAUUCCAUCAUACAAAAAUUGGUGUCUGCCGACUGACCAGAAAUAAACGAGUAACAUGUGACGACUGUCAAAGUUUGACAUACUAUUAGUCUACCAGGUUUGUUUGGUUUUUUUUAGUCUUUUGCAAUCUGCAUUAGGUUCACAGGCAACGAGACAUAUAAUGUUUGACAACAUAAUAUGCAAAUUGCAGAGCUAUGAGUGAAGCAAGAAUGAUUCUAAAAUAAGCCGGUGAAAAGAUACUUACAAGUUUCUAUUUUUGAAAUAAGCCGCAUGUGAAAAGAUACUUACAAGCUUUUCAUUCAAAAGCUCAAAGCAUGAAAGUUUUUGAACUCAGCCUCUGCAAGUAAAAAAGAAUACUAAGCCAAGUCUUUUAUCUGCAUUAUCACAGGCAAGACAAUAAUGUUGAUGAAUUAAGCUAUAUGAAGCAAGAAUGAUUCUAAAAUAAGCCGGUGAAAAGAUACUUCCAAGCUUUUCAUUUAAUUUCUUCAAAGCAUCAAAGUCGAUUUUUGAACUCAGCCUCUGCAAGAAAAAAGAAUGCCAUGUAAAUAAUUGUUGGAUAAGAUAUAAGUUGCAUCAGCUAAUUCCCUUACCUCCUUGUUAUUUAUCAGCUAAUUCCCUUACCUCUGGAGGAAUAAUACUUAAACGAAGCAUAUCCAUCAGCUAAUUCCCUAACGUCCUUGUUAUUUAUCACAGUAGAAACUUUGGCGGUUUUUUCUGCAGGUGCAGCUUUCUUGGCUUUUCUGGCUCGUUUUCUACUCUUUCCCUGCCAAAUUUAUCCAUUGUAUGUAGAAAAUUAGAAAUCGAUAAGUAAGGCACAAUGCUGGCAGUAAAACAAAGACAGAUAAACGAAAGGGAAAAACUAAAAAAUAAAUCACAUGCAGAUAAGAUAAAAAAAUAUUAAAAAAGUUAACCAUCACCCAAUACUAAUUUGUAAGCAGGUGUGACUCCAAUAACAGUUGAGAAUUUAGGCACAAACAACGAAGAAUGGUGAAUAAGCUGAAUGAAUCUUCCGAGCAUACACUUUAGAGAACAAUGCACACAUGACAGUCUAGAAAAAUGCAAAGAUAAACUCAAAUGAAGUAAAUAUUGGGAUAAACCACAUAGCUAAGCUAGCCAUAUCCCAUAAUAUAAUGAAUAAAUUCAAGGUUUUGGUUAGAAGGUCCUACUUUGAAAGGAAUGAUUUUACUGCAACGAAAUGCAUAAAAAGUGAAAGCAAGACACCAGUUCCAAGACAUGUCCUCUAUCAUAACUGAAAUUGCCUAUUUAGUGGGGCUUAAGGACUCAGAAUUUGUUGUUUUAUGUGCCUAGGAUCUUAAAAGAAGUAUUCUUCGUAGAUUAGCCAUAGUUUCAAAGACUAGGACUAAAAACAAGUUAAUUGUCUGGAAGACAAAGGGUUUGUUGCAAAUUUCAGUUAGCAGCAGGCUUUUUGAAUUUGGGGGCUAAAAGUUAGAGAAACCAGAAAGAAAAAACAGGUCAAAGAUUAGGGCUUUUGAAUCAAGUACGAAAAGAGAGAGAGUACAAAAGUUCUAGAAAGAGAGAGUUGAGUUAAGAACUUCCAAAAAAUCACUGAGAUAACGAGUAAAGGAAGAAUGAAGAGGCAAAGAGUGGAAGGAAGAAAACCAGAAACCCAUACAAGGAAAAUGUAUACUAGUAUGGUCAUGAUCAAAUGCAAAAUCCCCUCAAUUGUUCACUCUAAACAGUCGUGGCCAUAAAAAAACAUAGACGAAAAAUAAGAACAAAACCAUCGAAUAAACAGAAACUACGAAAUUGCCUAACAUUGCACCAAAUCCUUGUGAAAACAAAUGUGUCAAAACUUAUAGACUUGCAAAGGCAUUACCUGAUCGUAGUCCUUGUUAAGUACUUCCCAAAUUAAUCUUUUAAACAGUGCCGCCUCCUUGCUGUUAAGGUAUCCAGCAACCUAAAAAACAGAAGCAUGAGUUCUUCCAUAUCGAAAUUCACAAACGAAAAAUAGAAGCAACAAUCACAUACGAAUCCAAAUCGCUAUACGGACUACCAAGUGGGCUAUGAUGGAAGUGUUCUCUGAUGGGCAGGUGGGUGUAACUUUCAGGAUCUCUGCCUUUGUGUUUGAUUAAAUUUAUCCCCUUAAUCAUCAGACAUGGAAAAUGUGGUCGAUUGUCAUGAACCAAGAACUGAACUUUUCACAAUAACUAUGAAAUAAAAUUCCAACAACGUCGCAUGCAAACUAAAAAUUCUUAUUAUCAUCGAAAUAUUUGAGCACCUACCUUAAAUUCAUCAACUUAUGGAGAAUGGGCAGACACCAUUCGACGAAAACAAUUCAGAAAAUUGAAAAAAAAUAAUAAGAAAGCAAUGCCUGCUUUAUCAGCAUACCUCGGAGUCGUCGAUAUCUGAGAGGCUUUCUGAGACAUCGCCAUCCGCAGUUGACAUUGCAGCUUGCCGCCUUCUUUUGUAAACUCUGGGUUCUUUUGAAUUUUAUGUAAUUUUAGGUCUUGGGUUUUCCAGUAUUCAUGGAACUUGAAUUUAUAUCGACAGUAAUGUCGGCGACCAAACAAGAACCGACCUAGUUCGGUUUCCCUUUUAGUAUCAAAUCAGUCCAGAUUUGGUUCUGAUUUUUUAAGUUAAACGCGUUAACAAGUUAAAUGUUAAAUUUGAUUUCUAUUUUUUACUGUUUAUUUUGAUGCCAUGAUCUGUUGAUCAAUACAGAAAUUUUAUUUUUUUAAACAUCCUUUUUAUGAGUAAAAUGUAAGUGAAAAAGAUAAUAAAAGCCCAAAAUCUAAAGGGCUAGGCCCAAAAUAGUAGGGGAAUUUAAUCAAGAAACCAGAAAAACUCAGCCCAAUCUGAAAACCAUGUGGUUUUUUUUUGGGUGAACAAAACCAUGUGGCAAGCACAAACGCCAUGCAUUACAUCUUACAUUGUAGAAACGUAUUCCUACUGCUGGAACCAAAUUCGCGCACAAUCAUUGGUAUACGAAUAAUCGUUGGAAUCUCAUGAACACCGAUAAAUAGAAGAAUUGUUUGGAGUAUAUAACUGAAUUCGAAAAUGAUUGCCUACAUAUCUCCUCGUCAAAGAGGAAGAAUCAAAUCACGAGCAGUUCUGCGUUGUAUGAGCAUGUAUGCGUUAGAUGAGAUAUCAGAUAUACGUUAUAUCUCCUUGGAGUGAAUCCUAACUUGAAUAUUUAUAGAUGAUAUCUUUCAACUCUUUGUCUUGCUUUGCAUGAAUGCUUAUGCAUAUGUAAAGCGACAUAUCAAAGCCAAUAUUCUCGAGCUAUAAUCAUGCAAAUAUAAAGUAUAAAACAAUAAUUCAUUUAGCAAUCAAACACCUAAAGCGUCAUUCACAUCAAAUAAAAUGAUAUGAGCAAUAAUUAAAGCUAAGUAGGUAAAAGAUCAUCUUACCAUUAUGUUGUUCUCCUUAAAAUUUCAUUAUUUCAAUUUGAACUCUUUUGUAUAUGUUUCUCCAUACAUUAGUUCUUGUUCUUUAUUUUUAGUGUGGAUCAGAUUCAAAACUCUUUUUCCCACACCAACUCACUUUUUUUUUCUCAUUAACCGACUCCCUCUCACCACUUUCUUUCUUUUCAACUCUCUCCCAACCUUCCAAAACCUCAUUAUUUUCCUUCUCUUCUUCCAGUUCUUUCCCUUCCAGUAGGCUAUUCUCACACCUUCACUUCCCACAAACACCCCCUUCUUUCUCUUUGUCACAGAUGACAAACUACAAAACAACACUUCUCUCUCUCUCUCUCAGUUGUUUUCAUUUUUAUUAACUUGUUGCUCACACUCUUUUCUUUUCUUUUCCUUGCCUCACACAACUCCCUCGACACCUCUCCUUCUCUUUCCUUCUUUUAUGCUUUUCUUCAACCCCUUAUCUUCUUUAAUAUAGCUGAAAAUUUGCAUAUGUAACGGGAGUAGAAUUGGUGAGCAACAUAAAAUGGAGAUGUAGGCCAAAGAGGCUGGCUGAGAAGGCCAGCUCAACCGUACAUAAGCUGUUCAAACUGAUGCAUAGGCCAACAUACAGAUUAGGUUGUCGAGCUUCUUGGAUAAUUUAUAGAAGAGAUGAUAAGGAACAAUUUUUGUGAAUGAAGUGUUUUUGUUUGAUCACAGUAAGUUGGAUUUUUAAGCUCCAAACAUGACUGUAUGGUUUUCCGCCGAUUUUCAAGGCUGUAUAGUAUUUUGAUAAUCUGGAAUGAAUGGACAGUUAGAUCUUUCUGAGACUUUGAUAUGUUAAGUUAGAGAGAAUAAGGAACGAUUUCUAUGAAGAAAAUAUUUUGAUAUGAGUAAGAGAAAAUGUAGUUUCGAAGCUCACAACAGGCCUGACGGGUUGACAGACGAAUGCUGAGCAGUCACUGAUUAUACCUGAGUUUCUGAAGUUAUACAGCUCCUAUGGAUCUCAUAUUUGGAUAUGUUGUAUUUAACGAGUUAACGAACAACUUUCUUGAAGACGGAUUUUUGAUUUGAAGUAUAGAAAAUGGUAAUUUGAUCUGCAAAACAGAUAUGACGAAUUUCUGGUUCUUGAAAUUCUUUCUCUUGAUAACUAGAAGAAAAUGAUGAUGAGUUUGGUGGAGAGAUUUGUUGGGUAAGCUCUUAUGCAUUUUUUGGGAUUUGUAUGUGAUUUCUUUCUCCGGAUUCUCGUUGAAAACUAGAAGGAGAUUUGGUGGUGCUUCACAGAGUUGGAUAAUGGUGUUUCACUAGAACUUGAUAACACAAACAUUCACAUAAACACACAGUAUAGGAGUGGUUCGUCAAAGUGACUACAUCCAUUGAGGUUUGCUUUCAUUUGUAUUUCACUAUAUAUGAGAGACUUACAAAUACAAUGAAAGAUGACUUAAAACGUUUACAUAAGGUAAAAUAAAUGGAUGACGAAAGAGGAAUGGUCUGAGAAAGAGAACAUUCUUUUUGCUAGUGUGUUCUUGCUGGUGUGGUGUUCUCCCUUUUUUUUCCUCGUGUCCUUCUUCUAGUUCUUGCUCCUUCCUUUAUAGGGAUCAUAUGAGAUCUUCCUUCUCACAACGUGUACAAUCUAACUUGAGGUUAAAAGCUCCGUAGUGUCCCAAUAGAAAGACACAUUGUGCAAAUUAUUAACCAUUAAUAAUGAUAUGUUAAACUUAUCAUUAAUAAUGAUAUGUGUCCCAAUAACAAAGCAAAAUGUGUUAGCUAAUCCUGAACAAAAAAUAUCAUGUAAGAUGGAUGCAUGUCUAAGGCCACGUUAAAGUUUAUCUUAUGGUGAGCUUGUUGGAACAAAACAUAUGGUAACUCUACAAAUUGGUAGGAUAUCCGGAUGGUGAAUUAAAACCUCCAAAACCCAUGGUUAUAAUCACACCUCAAACUAAAACCAAAAGAGUAGCAAAGUAUUUAAUUGCUAGUGGCACGCAAAUGAGAAAUACAAAGCCUAACAAAUCAAUCUACAAAUAAAGUGAAACAUAUAGGUAUUUGUUAACUAAUGAAAAAAAGAACUUGGUAUAUCAAACUUUAGCAUAAAACACAAAUUAAAAGUACUUCGACACUUUUAUAUAUAUACCCACUUUUUAAAAUACGGAGUAUUACACUUGCACAUGCCUCUUAUAUAAAGUUGUUUUAGUCCUUUCACGAUCAAGCUUAACAUAUACGACAUUGUUCUUCUUUUAACUCCAAGCAUGAACUUUCCCCUCCUAAAAACUUAGGCUCCAAAUCAUUUCAAUUGUUGCCUAAUUUUUUAGGGAGGAAAGCUCAUAUUUGGAUCCAAAAGUAGAAAAUGUUAUGGAUGUUAGACCUGCAUAGUGAAAAGAUCGUAACACUCUAUAACAAAUAUACUUAUAAUUUUGAGUUUGUUUUUGUAUUGCAUGUGGUUUAAUAUUCUAGUAAAUAAGUCAUUGAGUUUCCACCUAGGUGUCUCAGGUUCGAGAUUCUCCCCUCAUAAAUUAUUUCAAAAAAGGUAACAUAUUGAAAUUUGAAUAAAAGUUAAGGUGACAAAUACAAAAUUUGCCUUUUCUUCUCUAUUAUGAAACUGGACCAUCAACAUUAAGGCUCAAUUUAUAGACCCAAAAAGGCCUUAUUAAAUUAUAAUUAUUAAAAUGUGUAUUAUAUAAAAGGAAGGGGUCCAAAACAAGUACAAGGGUGCACAAAGCGAUAAAAGGAGCAUGCGGAAAUCAUUUCCCGACAUUUAUCACCUUCCUUCUACUCUAAUGCCAGUGAGCAGUGAUUGAGUGACAUUUACAGGAGAAGGCGCAGGGUCAAUCCAGGGAGUGUUAGCACCACUUGCAUUGCUGCCUCCCGGCUGAUAGUUGAGGCGAACAUUACUAUCCUUGGAUGCAGUUGAUGGGGUAUCAUCCCCCACCAAAAAACUAUUUGUUGACAAUGUUAUUACAUCUUUAAAAUCAUAAUCUGUCAAAUAACUUGGCUUCGACAUGACAGUGCCUAAGUCAAUGUCUCCAGAGAGCAUUGCAGCCACGCGUGACAUAGAUGGCCUCGCCAUCGGUGAUCCCUGCGUGCACAAGAGAGCUGCUCGUAUCAAUCUAGUUGCUUCAGUUUCAUCAAACUCUGUCAAUCUUGGAUCCACCAGCCCCAGAGUUUGGUCGUUUUCAUGUAGAGUCCAUACCUGAAAAACAUUAUGCCACGGUCAAAGGAAAGUAUAAAUAAGUUUUUCACAACAAUGCCAAAAUGAAGCUAGGGGGAUGCAAUUCCUACCCAUUCAAGAAGAUAAAUCUUUUUUGGAUCCAAGUUAUUGUAAGAGUUUGGUCUCCCGCUGAGGAUCUCCAAAACGACGACUCCAAAACCAAACACAUCGACCUUCUCUGUCAAAUGUCCAAACAAUGCAUACUCCGGUGCCAAAUAGCCUCUGCAAUGCAAGAUAAUCAAAUGGUUGCACAAUGUUGCUUGAGAUCAUUAGAGGCAUUAUUAACAUGUGUGUUAAAAUUUCAUGCAAGUAUAAAUGUGUGUGGCCAUAAUGUAUGUAUCCUCUAGAAAAACAAUAAAGGAUGGCUUACAUUGUCCCUGCAACCCGGGUGCUGAUGUGGGUUUUCUCGUCAUCAUAAAGCUUUGCUAGUCCAAAAUCUGAUAUUUUUGGGGAGAGUUCUGCAUUGAGCAAAAUAUUACUCGCUUUGACAUCUCGAUGUACAAUCCUUGGCCUUGACUCCUCAUGAAGGUAAGCAAGUCCUCUUGCUGUUCCCAACAAUAUAUUGAAUCGAGUAGGCCAAUCAAGGUGCAAGUUACUUGU
rnacentral:lncRNA from 1 species